rnacentral:rRNA from 1 species
GACGAACGCUGGCGGCGUGCUUAACACAUGCAAGUCGAACGGAAAGGCCCUGCUUUUGUGGGGUGCUCGAGUGGCGAACGGGUGAGUAACACGUGAGUAACCUGCCCUUGACUUUGGGAUAACUUCAGGAAACUGGGGCUAAUACCGGAUAGGAGCUCCUGCUGCAUGGUGGGGGUUGGAAAGUUUCGGCGGUUGGGGAUGGACUCGCGGCUUAUCAGCUUGUUGGUGGGGUAGUGGCUUACCAAGGCUUUGACGGGUAGCCGGCCUGAGAGGGUGACCGGCCACAUUGGGACUGAGGUACGGCCCAGACUCCAACGGGAGGCAGAAGUGGGGAAUAUUGCACAAUGGGCGGAAGCCUGAUGCAGCAACGCCGCGUGCGGGAUGACGGCCUUCGGGUUGUAAACCGCUUUCGCCUGUGACGAAGCGUGAGUGACGGUAAUGGGUAAAGAAGCACCGGCUAACUACGUG